GACGAACGCUGGCGGCGUGCUUAACACAUGCAAGUCGAACGAAGUGGCGAACGGGUGAGUAAUACGUGGGUAACCUGCCCUCCUUUUUGGGAUAAGCCUUGGAAACGGGGUCUAAUACGGAAUAAAGGGGGAUGGGCUCGCGGCCUAGCAGCUUGUUGGUGGGGUGAUGGCCUACAAAGGCGGUGACGGGUAGCCGGCCUGAGAGGGUGACGUGCCACAUGUGUAGUGGGGUACGGCCGAUACUCCUACGGGAGGCAGCAGUGGGGGGUGUUGCACAUUGGCAGCAGGCCGGAUGCAGCGACGCGGCGUGGGGAAUGAAGUUUUACUGGUUUUAAUGCUUUUUCGCUAUCGAACGGUUCGGUUUUUAUGAAGCGCCGGCUAACUACGUGCCAGCCGCCGCGGUAAUUC
rnacentral:rRNA from 1 species